rnacentral:sRNA from 1 species
UGAUGGUGGCGUUUUUGAGGACAGAUGUCCGUGUCUUGGUUUCCUGGGCCAGCGGCAUCGUCGGUGACUCGAUCUCCUGCCCCCGGGGG